UGAAGAGGUGCCUUCCACCAAGAUUGUAAUUUCCCGAGGUCUCCCCAGCCACGUGGAACUAUUGUAAAACAGUAGAAGACUGAAGGAUUGCAGAGUGCAGAGCAACAGGAAAACUUGUCCAAGACCCACCGAGCUGUAAUCUUCCUUAGACUUCCUCUUUUUUUGCUGCUACCCUGUAGUGUGAUCAGCUUGAAUCUGGAAGCCAGCUGUCUCGGGCACUGCUGGAGAGAUGUGCCUGCAUCCCCUUCACUUUCUACCAUGAUUGUAAAUUUCCGGAGGCCUCCGUUGCCAUACUUCCUGUACAGCCUGCAGAACUGUGAGUCAAAUUAAUUCUAUUUUCUUUAUAAAUUAUCCAGUCUAAGGUAAUUCUUUAGAGUGGUGUGACAAAGGAUUAAUACAGAAAAUUGCUACCAGAGAAGUAGGGCAUUACUUUAAAGACACAUGAAAAUGUAGAAGCACCUUUGGAACUGAGUGGAGAGGGUUGGAACAGUUGGGAUGACUCAGAAAAAAAACAGGAUGAUGAGGGAAAGUUUGGAACUUUCUAGAAAUUUGUUGAAUGGUUUUGACCAAAAUGUUAGUAGUGAUAUGGACAAAGAUGGCCAUGCUGAUGAGGUCCCUGAUGGAGAUUAGGAACUUAUUGAGAACUGGAGUAAACACCACUCUUGCUAUGCUUUAGUAAAGAGGCUAAUGACAUUGUGUCACUGCUCUAAAUAUCUGUGGAAAUUUUGAACUUGAAAGAGAUGAUUUAGGGUAUCUGUUGGAAGAAAUGUCUAAACAGCCAAGUGUUCAAGAAGUAAGCUGGCUGCUUCUAACAGCAUGUUCUUGCAUGCAUUCACAAAAAGAAGGUCUGAAGUUGGAACUUAUAUUUAAAAGUUAAGGAGAGUCUAAAAGUUUGAAAAACUUGCGGCCUGACCAUGUGAUAGAAAAGAAAAAUCAAAUAUCUGGGGAGAAAUUCAAGCCAGCUGCAGAAAUGUACAUGAAUACAGAGGAGCCAAAUGUUAAUUGCCAAGACAAUGGGGAAAAUGUCUCCAGAGCAUUUCAGAGACCUUUCCAGCAGCCCCACCCAUACAGGCCUGGAGACCUACAAGGAAAAAUGGUUCCAUGCACUAGGCCCAGGGUCCCACUGCUCUGUGCAGCCUUGGGACACAAUGCCUGCUUCCCAGCCACCCCAGCUCCAGCAAUGGUGAAAGGGACCAAGGUACAGUUUGGGCCAUUGCUUCAGAGUGUGCAAGUCCCAAGCCUUAGUGGCUUCCACGUGGUGUUGGGCCUGAGGGUGCACAGAAGGCAAGAGCUGAGGUUUGGGAACCUCUGCCUAGAUUUCAGAGGUUGCAUGGAAACAACUGGAUGUCCAGGGAGAAGUCUGCUGCAGGAGCAGAGCCCUCAUGGAGAACCUCUACUAGGGCAGCAUGAGGGGAAAAUAUGGGAUUGAAGAUCCCACACAGAGUUCCCACUGGGGCACUGUCUAUUGUAGCUGUGAGAAGAUCCUUCAGAUCCCAGAAUGGUAGAUCCACUAACAGCUUGCACCGUGUGCUAGGACAGGCUGCAGGCACUUAAUGCCAGCCAUGUGAAAGCAGCCUCAGGUGCUGUACCCUGCACAGCCACAGGGAAGCAGCUGCCCAAGGCCUUGGGAGCCCACCUCUUUCAUCACUGUGGACCCGAUAUAAGACAUCAAGUCAAAGGAUAUUAUUUUGGAGCUUUAAGAUGUAAUGACUGCCCUGCUGGGUCUUGUAGUUAUAUAGGGCCUGUCGCCCUUUGUUUUGGCUGAGUUCUCCUUUUUGGAUAGGAGCAUUUACCCAAUGCCUUUAUGCCCAUUGUAUUUUGGACGUAACUAACUUGUUUUUUAUUUUAUAGGCUCAUGGGUGGAAGGGACUUGCCUUCUCUCAAAUGAGACUUUGGACUUGGGACUUUUGAGUUAAUGCUGAAAUGAACUAAGACUUGGCAGACUGUUGUGAAGGCGUGAUUAUGUUUUAAAAUAUGAGAAGUACAAGAGAUUAGGGAGGGGCCAAGGCAGAAUGAUAUGAUUUGGCUCUGCAUCCCCAGCCAAAUCUCUUGUUAAAUUAUAAUCCUCAGUGUUUUGGAAGGCACCCUGCGGGAGGUGAUUGGAUCAUGGGAGUGGUUUUCUGCGGCUGUUCUCAUGAUGGUGAGGUGGGUUCUCAUGAGAUCUGGUUGUUUGAAAGAGUGUAGCACUUCCUCCUAUGCCCUGCUCUCUCUUCUGCUUCAUCAUUGUGAAGAUGUGUCUACUUCCUCUUUGCCUUCCAUCAUGAUUGUAAGUUUCCUGAGGUCUCUCCAGCCAUGAUUCCUGUACAGCCUACAGAACUGUGAGUUAAUUAAAGCUCUGUUUUUUUUUUCUUUACAAAUUACCCAGUCUCGGGUAGUUCUUUAUAGCAGUGUGAGAACAGACUAAUAUAUCUGUAAGUAAAAUAAAACAAAAAUUAAGCACAUAAAAAUGAAGAUAGUGCAAAGGAGAGGAGUAUAGCAUUUAAAAGGAAAUAAAGCAGUAAAUAAACAGAUAAAAGUAUGUAUAAUAAAGCCAUUUUCCUUAACAAAGGUAAUGAUUGUAGAUACUGCAUAUAUAUAUUACAUAUGUAUCUACUAUGUAUAUCCCUACCAUAUAUAUCUACUAUAUAUCUAUCUAUACUAUAUAUAUAUAGUAGAGUAUUGUAUAUACAUGUAUCUACUAUAUAUAUAUGUCUACUCUCUCUAUAUAUAUGCACUAUAUGUUUAUUAAAUAUAUAUCUGUGUCCCUUCUUGGCCAUUCUAUUGACUUCCUUCAUAAGUAAAAUUCAAUAUUACUGUUCCCUGAUGUCACAAAUCUUGGGAUCUAUUAUUAUACAUCAUGUAAAAUCUGAAAUUAACUAGAUUACUGUUAUAAUAUGAACAUAAUUUAUCUUUAAUAAGUUAAAACUGAUUUGCCAUAUUUGAUGUUAAUGAGUGUUAUAGGGAAGAGCUCUAAAGUAACAAUUACUAGAUUGAAAUUAAGAAUAAUUUUCUGAGCAUUGUUAGCAAUAUUACAUCACAUGUAUCAUAUGUCCUCUUGUAAAGUAUGAGAGAAAUAUCUCUGGUUCUCAACAUUUCUUUAGCUGUUGUGAUGCUAUAAUAAAACAUUUCUUAAUUACAUUGCACUGUGAUGCAGGUGUGAUAUAAACCUAUAUUUGCUUAAUUCAUUUAAUGUAAAUAAACUAACUGUUUUUCCGACCUCAUUAUAGUAUGUGGUUUCAAUAAAAUAGUUUUUUGCAUUUUUCCUAUGGCCCUGCAGAACUCAUGUUAUUUUAGUAUUGGUUGAAAAUACUAUCCAUUACAACAGAUAACUAGGAGGGCAGUGCAGGGAGGCAUGGUAAACUUAUGAUUUCCCCAGUUUUGAUUUAUUGAUCAAAGUGAAUAAGCUCAUGAUCUGUGGUUUCAUUGUGAUAAAAAAAAAAAACUGUCAUUAUAUUCUAUAAUAUCAUUUUAUAAUACUUUUGAUACAUUAUCUUCUUUUUAUUCCAGUUAUUCAGAUACUGGCACCCAUUGUCCACCAAGCCUGGGACCACAUAAAACAGUCCGUUUGAAAUUUCCAUUGACCAAACUUAAUCUUUGUGGCACAAGGGAUGUCUACAGCUUUGCCUUUCCUAAGAAAAACCAGUUAAUUUUAGAACCACAAGUAUUUUCCAAGAAACACUCCCAUAAUCACAUCAUCUUCUUGGCAUACCUUCCCUUUCAUCACUGAGAAUUGCCAGUCUGUAAGUGGGAUGUUUAUGUAUAGAAGAAAUCUACAUGGAAUAAAUGAAAUAAUAUAGUUUCAACUCCCCAAGAUGAGGAACCUUAUGCAAAGAAGUUGAGUAAAUUGUAUAAGACCGUAUUCUAAGAGGUGGUGGAGUUAAAAUUGGAAUCCAGACCACGUAAGCCCAAAGGCUGUCUCAUAAUUCCUACCAUGCUUUUCUCAUUCUCCUUUUACUUUGCCGGCCCUAUUGUUUCACUACUCAAAAGCUAUAAUAUUUCCAUUUCUUUUAUAAAUGGCAAGCUUAUCUCACAAUGUAAAUAUUCACUUGUAGAGUAAUUUACUCAUGAGUGGCUCCAACUCGGCAUCUCCGACUCUCCUUUGUUACUCAAAAUGCUUGCUGAAAAGUUCCACUUGUGCCUUAAAGUGUUAUCACUUUGAAUUCAAAAUGUGCUGUGGCCGUUUAAAGAAGGGACAAAGAAGACAAAGUCUGCUUCAUCAUAAUUCAGACAGUUCUAUUAGUACUUGCCCAGUAAUUAAGGCUAAUGAUAUGUCUCCCAAAACCUUUGGCUAAUGGCAUUUUAAUAUUCACUGUCAUUUUUAUCCUUUUUCUAUAUGUUCUCUUUUUGUUAUUGUUCACUAUAAGCUGUACUCAACAGUUUAUAUCAAGUUGUUUUUUUUUUUUUAUUUUGUUAGUCACUUUCCCACGGGAAAGAUUCUCAGUAUCUAGUUUUACCACCAUUCUUUCUCUUCCACAAUUCCUGUCUUAGUCAAUUUGUGUUGCUAUAAAGGAAUAUCUGAGUCUGGAUAAUUUAGAAGGAAAAUUAUCUCAUGUUUUUGCAGGCUGUACAAGGUGCGUGAUGCCCACAUAUGCUUUGAUUAGGGCCUCACACUGCUUCCACUCAUGGCAGAAGGCAAAUAGGAGCCAGCAAAUGCAGAAACCCUAUGGGCAAGAGAGAGGCAGGAGGUUCCGUGCUUUUUUUCCCCCCUGAGAUGGAGUCUCGCUUU